rnacentral:rRNA from 1 species
CUGGGUUUGACAUGUUGGGGACAGCCGCAGAGAUGCGGUUUCCUUAUGGUCCCAUCACAGGUGGUGCAUGGCUGUCGUCAGCUCGUGUCGUGAGAUGUUGGGUUAAGUCCCGCAACGAGCGCAACCCUUGUCCUAUGUUGCCAGCGCGUAAUGGCGGGGACUCGUGGGAGACUGCCGGCGACAAGUCGGAGGAAGGUGGGGACGACGUCAAGUCAUCAUGCCCCUUAUGCCCAGGGCUGCAAAUAUGCUACAAUGGCCGGUACAAAGGGCUGCGAAACCGUGAGGUCAAGCGAAUCCCAUAAAGCCGGUCUCAGUUCGGAUUGGAGUCUGCAACUCGACUCCAUGAAGCCGGAGUCGCUAGUAAUCCCGGAUCAGCAACGCCGGGGUGAAUA